rnacentral:lncRNA from 1 species
UUCUGAGGUGUGUUUCAUGAGAACACCAGAGUCAAGAUUGUAAGAGGACAAAGAACGGAAGCAGAUUCCAGAGCAGGGAGAUACCUUGGCUACACAUCUUCAACGUACGAUCCAAAGUGCUUCCAACACUUGUCACAACAGAAGCUCUCGACAAUCUAUCUCCCACCCAUUUCUUAUUCGUAACCAACUACUGUUAAGGAUUAGAAGCUCCCCUGAUGUGAAAAAAAGGCAGAAACCAUAUAGAUCACAGCUCUCAAGAAUGCUAGAUUUCCCCUGUGAACCAGAUUACCUUGCGAACACUCUUACGAGGCUCUGUAGACAAUUACGUGCCUACAAUUCUUGCAGACCGAACACACUUGAGAAAUGUGCCAUCAUCAUCCCUUUUGGAACCGAACAAGCGCAAAUAAUAAGACAAACCCCAAAGUCCUCCCAGAAAUGCAGAUGUGUGGUUGGAAAAGUUAGAGGAAAUGGAACCAAAACAUCUCGGUUCACUCCUCAAGCAUGUUGAUGCGAAGGAACGUAAGGAAGAGCGCAAUCACCUUGCUGGCAUUCAAUUUCCGGAAGGAUAUUGUGACCGUGAGGUUUGAACAGGAACCAGGCGACACAGUGGUUAAAUCCUAAUCCUCGAUGUG